UGUAAAUGCUGCAGCAAACUGCGCAGAGGCUUUGCAUAAUGUCACGGCAGCAGCUGCUAUUGCUAGAGUUUGCUGGGGGCCCAGUGGAGGACGGAGUUGCAGGGACCCAUUUCCAGCAGCCAGGGAAGGAAGAGGCUGAGAGGUGUCUGGGAGACAGGGGUAUCUAGGGGAGCUGAGAACGCCUGGUCUACCCACUGAAGAGUUCUGGGAGGAGAGAAGGAGCCUGGGGAAUCCUGCGGAGCUGAGGCUCAACUGGAAGUUGCACCCAGAGGACUGAGAGACUAAGGUGGAGAGUUACCCGCACUGGACAGUGUUGUUGGGAGCAUUAAAUGAAGUGAUGUGAAAGGGGGAUGGCGCAGGGCAUGGCACACAGGGGGCACCUCAUCUUUGGUAAUUAAAGGUGUGUGGCAAUGGGGGAGCAGUAAUGCGGGGCCUAUUUUAGCCUUUCAGUGUAUUUACCCAGCCAUGUAACCCUCCGUUUGUGCACUCAUCACACUCCUGAUUCGUCCACUUCUUCAUCCUUCCACCCACCUACCUCCCCUCUCCAUCCAUUCUCCUACUCACACCAGUUACUCUACCCUUCCCUCUACCCACCUCUCUAUCCAUUUAGUCAUUAAUCCACACAACCAUUCACUCAUCCAUUUGUAUAUUCACCCCAUCCACCUAUUUUUCAGCCUAUCCAUAUGGAUCCCACUCUACCCAUCUGUCUUAUCCAUAGCCCUACCUAUCAUUAAUUCAUCUACUUUCUACUCUUCCCAUUUAUUAGUUCAUCCAUCCAUCUGCCCACUCUU